GACGAAGGCUGGCGGCGUGCUUAACACAUGCAAGUCGAACGGAAAGGCCCUGCUUUUGUGGGGUGCUCGAGUGGCGAACGGGUGAGUAACACGUGAGUAACCUGCCCUUGACUUUGGGAUAACUUCAGGAAACUGGGGCUAAUACCGGAUAGGAGCUCCUGCUGCAUGGUGGGGGUUGGAAAGUUUCGGCGGUUGGGGAUGGACUCGCGGCUUAUCAGCUUGUUGGUGGGGUAGUGGCUUACCAAGGCUUUGACGGGUAGCCGGCCUGAGUGGGUGACCGGCCACAUUGGGACUGAGAUACGGCCCAGACUCCUACGGGAGGCAGCAGUGGGGAAUAUUGCACAAUGGGCGGAAGCCUGAUGCAGCAACGCCGCGUGCGGGAUGACGGCCUUCGGGUUGUAAACCGCUUUCGCCUGUGACGAAGCGUGAGUGACGGUAAUGGGUAAAGAAGCACCGGCUAACUACGUG
rnacentral:rRNA from 1 species